rnacentral:rRNA from 1 species
AGAGCGAACGCUGGCGGCAGGCCUAACACAUGCAAGUCGAGCGCCCGUAGCAAUACGGGAGCGGCAGACGGGAUAGUAACACGUGGGAACGCGCCCUUCGGUUCGGAAUAACUCAGGGAAACUUGAGCUAAUACCGGAUACGCCCUUACGGGGAAAGAUUUAUUGCCGAAGGAACGGCCCGCGUCCGAUUAGCUAGUUGGUGAGGUAAUGGCUCACCAAGGCGACGAUCGGUAGCUGGUCUGAGAGGAUGACCAGCAUCACUGGGACUGAGACACGGCCCAGACUCCUACGGGAGGCAGCAGUGGGGAAUAUUGGACAAUGGGCGCAAGCCUGAUCCAGCCAUGCCGCGUGGAUGAUGAGGCCUUAGGGUUGUAAAGUCCUUUAACGGGAGAUAAUGACGGUACCGUAGAAUAAGCCCGGCUAACUCGUGCCAGCAGCCGC